CCAAACGUUGAUAAAUGAUUGGAUAAGAGUUGAGCAGAAAAUGAAACAAGACCGACGCCUUGUAUUGAACUCUUUGUUCUAGACAGCACGGACUCUUUAAGGCACACGUCGACCUAAUAAUAGGCUCCGAUCAUGCAGAAAAACAAAAGAACAAAGAAACAAAAGAGCACUUCGCUUAGCCGUCGGUUAAGGGGGAACGAUAGCCGAAGCGAAAGCACCCGCAUUAUCAUCGCCUUUUCCUCUGUCGAGUCUUCUUUCUCAGCCCAAAGGUCUGGUUCAGAAUGCGGUUGAUGGUGACUGAUGAUACUACAACCUUGAGUUAUUGGUUAAAUUGGAGGGUCUUACUCUGUGCAAUAUUGGUAUUGACACCAAUGGCAGUAGCAUUCUAUCUUAUAUGGAAAUAUGAACGUCCGACAAAAGAUUCAUGCUCCGACAGAGAAGCGUUGCAUGAUGAGAGAUCCAGGAUUUUGUGGAAUGAUGAAGCUUGGAGGCCAUGUUUAAAGGAAAUUCCCCGAGUUUUUUGAUGGUCUAUCGGGUUAUCGCAUUCUGUCUGCUCUUAGUGGCCCUUAGUUUUGAUGUUGCAGUUCACGGUGGUGAAUUAUUUUACUAUUAUACUCAACUUCAGAUUCUAAGUGAGGUCAAGCAUUGGUGUACCGACUAGCAAUUUUUUUCCUUACCUUACUACGAAGAUUUCAUCCCCUAGAGGAAAGAGGGCAGUUUACCAGUUUCGAACAUUCUUUCUGGACUUGAGAGCCUCAAAACUUAAAAGGUGGACUUUUACGUUAGUUACCAUAUAUUUUGGGCUUGGAUCUGUGCUGUCACUCUAUGGAUUUUGUAAGGAUAACAGAAUGAACAACAAGGUUAAUGAUCGUAUCGUUGAAGACACAGAGAAGGGCUUAUAUAUGCCACUUGCAUGCGAGGGAACUUCAAAUGGAAAAGUGGGUGGAAACUUGGAUUACAAAGGGAAAUCAAACACUCCAUGCAGUGCUGCCCUCUGGUGUAACCUAUUUCAGAUUUUAUUUCAGAUGACAGCAGGGGCGGUGAUGCUUACUGAUUCUGUUUACUGGGUCGUUAUUUUCCCAUUUCUUAGCAUCGAAGAUUAUGAGAUGAGUUUGUUGACAGUCCUUGCCCAUUCACUUAAUCUGAUCUUGCUUCUUGGGACACAGCUUUAAAUUCCUUGCAUUUUCCGUGGUUCCGGAUUUCUUACUUCAUAUUGUGGACGGGUAUUUAUGUCAUCUUCGAGUGGACCAUUCAUGCUUGUUUACCAUUGUGGUGGCCAUACCCAUUUCUUGACCUCUCCGCACGAUAUGCUCCAAUAUGGUAUUUGUUGGCGGCAGUACUGCAUGUCCCAUGCUAUAGUAUUUUUGCAUUGAUCGUUAAAUUAAAAGAGUAUGCCCUGUCUAGAUGGUAUUCGCAAUCUUAUUGGUGUCAGAGAUGAGACCUUGAUAUUAGGAUGUGUUGUUUUAAAUCACAUACCCACACCAUCAACAUUUUGUCUGUUGAAGUUGCUUUAAGGGCAUAGCAGAGGCGGCUUGCUCAUUUGGAAGGUUUAAUCGGAGAACUGAGGAAUUGCGAGAGGGACAGCUAAAUAGGGAUCAUUGCUGAUUUUAAGUCCAUCUGAUCUGGAUGACAUGGCAAAUAAAAGUGGUCAUUGAAGAAUUUCUUUUUAUGUCUUCUUGUUGAUUGUAUGGGCUCAAGUCCCAGUUUUUAUUUUAAUACGUGUACAUCAUUUUUUGUCCAAAAACUGGGUAUACGCCCUGGUUUGCACAGAUAUUGCGGCAAAUAUAUCAAAUCUUCAACAAAAUGAACCAUGGGACUUGUUGCCAAAAGAAACAAUAUGCUUGCGCCUGGCAGCAGGUUGGCAGAGUGCCUGGUUUUACACUUUUGCUCUCA